rnacentral:tRNA from 1 species
GGAGUGUAAAUCAGUGGUAGAGCGCUUGCUUGGCAUGCGUGAGACCCUGGGUUCAAUCCCUAGCUCCA